CAAUGUGGGUGGAGUCAAACGCGUUUAACAAAAACCUUUCCCGGUCUCCUUCAAGGUCACCCAAGUUCUCAAUCGAACCUGACCUACAUGGAUAAAAAUAUAAACCAUGGAAGAUGAUGUAGAAGACGCCCCGAGAAGUCACAGCAUUUCACUUCAGCAUGCAGGAUCAGGUGAUACUGAAAACAAAAUGCACGGAAGCAGAUGUUCUUAUAAGGGACACCUUAGAGGCAGCAAGGUAGUGUGAACUCCAAACAUUUAAAGCCACUGUUUCCCUCCCCAGUGUAAUUGGGAUGGACAGGGAAGACUCCAUUACAACCCUUAAAGGACUACGGUUGUAUGAUGGCCUGGAUGAAGAGGAAAAUAUUCUCAAGGAACCAUUCAUGUUACAGAGAGAUUGAGAUAUUCUAUGUGGAGGCAGUUGACAACAAGAACAUUACUGUCUUUGCCUCUUGAGGAGCAGGAGUGAAGCCAUUUUUGAGGAGUGGUCAAACCUUGUUUUUGUCUGCUGUGUUAAUUGUUUCAAUUGUUAAUUGUGUUAAGUUGUUUAGUAAAGAUGACGUUGAAGUCACCCGAGUCUCUGAUCUCUGUACUGGAGCUGGUAUAACUUAAUGUACAAAGCACAUUCAGCUUGUCAGUAUGUCUAUAUGGUAUAGUCUGUCUCCAUUCUCAUGAGGAAAGUAAAUAGCAUUAUAAAUAAGGAUAGGUAGUAAUUGUGUGUGUGUGUGUGUGUGUAUAUAUAUAUAUAUAUAUAUAUAUAU